rnacentral:tRNA from 1 species
GGAGAGCUGACCGAGAGGCCGAANNGUGCUCGCCUGCUAAGCGAGUAUAGGAUGCAAAUCCUAUCUGGGGUUCGAAUCCCCAGCUCUCCGCCA